GGCCUAACACAUGCAAGUCGAGCGGAUGAGGGAAGCUUGCUUCCCGAUUUAGCGGCGGACGGGUGAGUAAUGCCUAGGAAUCUGCCUAUUAGUGGGGGAUAACGUUCUGAAAGGAACGCUAAUACCGCAUACGUCCUACGGGAGAAAGUGGGGGAUCUUCGGACCUCACGCUAAUAGAUGAGCCUAGGUCGGAUUAGCUAGUUGGUGGGGUAACGGCUCACCAAGGCGACGAUCCGUAGCUGGUCUGAGAGGAUGAUCAGCCACACUGGAACUGAGACACGGUCCAGACUCCUACGGGAGGCAGCAGUGGGGAAUAUUGGACAAUGGGCGAAAGCCUGAUCCAGCCAUGCCGCGUGUGUGAAGAAGGUCUUCGGAUUGUAAAGCACUUUAAGUUGGGAGGAAGGGUUGUAAGCUAAUAUCUUGCAGCUUUGACGUUACCAACAGAAUAAGCACCGGCUAACUCUGUGCCAGCAGCCGCGGUAAUACAGAGGGUGCAAGCGUUAAUCGGAAUUACUGGGCGUAAAGCGCGCGUAGGCGGCUUAGUAAGUUGGAUGUGAAAGCCCCGGGCUCAACCUGGGAACUGCAUCCAAAACUGCUUGGCUAGAGUACAGUAGAGGGUGGUGGAAUUUCCUGUGUAGCGGUGAAAUGCGUAGAUAUAGGAAGGAACACCAGUGGCGAAA
rnacentral:rRNA from 1 species